GAUGAACGCUGGCGGCGUGCCUAAUACAUGCAAGUCGUGCGGAAAGGCCACUUCGGUGGUACUCGAGCGGCGGACGGCAGAGUAACGCGUAGGAACAUACCCCAAACUGAGGCAUAACUGCUCGAAAGAGCAGCUAAUACCGCAUGUGAUCUUCGGAUUAAAAGCUUCGGCGGUUUGGGAAUGGCCUGCGUCCGAUUAGCUAGUUGGUGAGGUAAAUGCUCACCAAGGCUUCGAUCGGUAGCUGGUCUGAGAGGAUGAUCAGCCUGACUGGAACUGAGAACGGUCCAGACUCCUACGGGAGGCAGCAGUAGGGAAUUUUCCACAAUGGGCGAAAGCCUGAUGGAGCAACGCCGCGUGCAGGAUGAAUGCCUUCGGGUUGUAAACUGCUUUUAUUAGUGAAGAAUAUGACGGUAACUAAUGAAUAAGGGUCGGCUAACUACGUGCCAGCAGCCGCGGUAAU
rnacentral:rRNA from 1 species